rnacentral:lncRNA from 10 species
AGAGGGGUGACAUUGUGGAGCAAGGGCGCAGUUGGCUCUGAGGGCCUCGAAGGUCAGGCUGUUGAGCUUAGACUUAGGCCUGGAGGCAUGGGGAACCGUGGGAGGGAUCUUGGAGGGGAGGUGCCCUGGGAGACAUUGAGGAAGGAAAAUGCACCAUGAGAUAAGUUCUGCAGCUGCAGAGCAUUGGGCGCUGCUGAUGGAGUAAUCAGGAGACAUUGUGCUCACUUCUUCCCUUCCUAGAAGAGGAAUCGCAGCGCAACCGGGGUGAGGCAAGUGUAUGGGCAACUUAGCUCAGUAGCUUAGAGUGACUCAGAGUGGACUCUGCACCUCUGCGAGAGGGAAUUCUAUCAUGGAAAUAGUUUGGUGGCCCUCGGAGGCACAGGGUCAUGCAGCAAGCUGGCACUAGAAUAUUUCAAGCUCGCAGUAAUGAAAGCAAAUGGCAAUUUGGCGUGUCUUCAGGCUUGAAAGCCGCAGAGCAGUGUUCAGUCAUCAGCGGCGGUUAUCACCCACCGAUAAUGGAGGCUGCUGCUCGGGGCCAGAAUGGAUCAUCUCUGAGCAUUUUCUGAGUGCUGGUUUCCAUAGCAGCAAGGCCGUUCCU